rnacentral:rRNA from 1 species
CCAUCAGAACUCCGCAGUUAAGCGUGCUUGGGCGAGAGUAGUACUAGGAUGGGUGACCUCCUGGGAAGUCCUCGUCUUGCACUCCU